UACUGAUUUGAUAUUAUUUUCUUUUAAGGGUUUUAUUUCCUUUUUAAUAAAUUAUUAUAUGGUUUAAUAAAAAUAAUUUUUUUGAUACUAAAUAGGUUUUAUAGUUUAAAUUAUUAAUUAAAACGAGAAUUAGAUACUCUCUUAUUAAUAAUUUAAAUUUUUAAUUCUCUCAGUUUUAACUGAAAUAAUUUGGCAGUUAAUGAGAUUUUUCUGGGGAAUCGUGUAAUUUAAUAGAUGAUCCACUUAAUAAUUUACUUUUAUUAUUUGUUAGUGUAUAUCCGGUUGUUUAUAGAAAUUUUAUGGUUUUUGUUAAUAUAUUUAUAUUAUUUAAUCCAGGUCAAUAUGCUGCUUUUAUAAAAGAUAUUAUGCGAGGCAUUGUAAAGAUAUAGAAUGUAAAUUUUUAUAUAUAUUGAGGACUCAGUAGUAUUAUGGAAUAGUGAGUCCGUGAGAAUUAAAUUUAGUUAAGGUACACAUCGCCCGUCACCUUCAAUAUAGAUU
rnacentral:rRNA from 1 species